GCACCGGGACGACCCGGUCGCGCCUUUCGAUUCACGGGGACGGCCCCG
rfam:Burkholderia glumae PG1 chromosome 1, complete sequence.